CUCACAGGAACUGGGAACAAAUAAGUAUUUCAAGCUCCUGAAACAUACCUGGAUGAAAGCUGAGACUGAAAACAGAAGCUCUGGGUUCUCAAAAAUGCAACUAAUACUAAGAAACAAAAAGGAAAAGAGCUGCUGAUUAGAGGUAGUGGAGUAAUAGGCACUGUUAACCUAAGACCAUAGUCCUGUAGAAGGCUCAUAUUUGGAUUUUAAGACGUCUAGAAGCUCUUCAAAAUAUCAUUUUUUCCAAAGAAAGUGAAACACAGAAUGGAUAAAAAUGACUUGUCUAAUUUUACAAAGAUGUUGGCAAAGACAAGAGAUGAAAAAGAUCAGUUUUCCUGAUUCUCUUCCAUGCUGUUCCUUUUAUUGUAUAUUACAUCUGCUAGGGAAAAGUUAUUACCUUCUCAUUUGUACGUUUAUCAAUAAAAAUUUCUGGGCAUUUA
rnacentral:lncRNA from 1 species